rnacentral:tRNA from 2 species
GCCCGGUUGGAGGAACUGGUCAGACUCGCGGCACUCAAAAUGCCGUGCCCUAGGGCAUGUGGGUUCGAAUCCCACACCGGGCACCA